GGUUUUCUUUUAUAUCAGUGCGAAAGAAGACAAUUGCAUCUGAACACAAUGUCUCAGACCAUCAUAUUCUUUCUUUGAGUUGUCCAAAUAAAUGUUUUGUUUACCAUUAGAGGUUUUUAAUCAAUCAAAAUGAAAAGGUGUGUUUAAGGUAGACAGAACAUAACAGAAAAGAGCAAAACGGAAGACUCAUACUGCUCAUUUUCAUUCUUGACUAUCAAUCAUAGAAUCUCCCAACCUCAUCACUCAAGCUUCUCCAGUUCUGACAUCCUCUCAAUGAUCGCCUGCAACAAAGAGAGUUGAUGGAUAACUUUUCAGUUUACUGCCAACAAUAAACGACAAAAAUGCUCUGAGAAAAGAAGACAAAAAAGGUUUUAUGAGCGCACCCGCUUGCUUGUUUCUUGAAGCUCUCCAGCAAGAAUGAAUUCAUCCAGAAUUAAGUACACCUUACAUGAAACAACAAUUGUGAAUUUAGUAAAAAUUAAAAACAAAUAAAGAACUAAUACAGAAAUUUCGAAGCAUCAUUUAUCUAUCCCUCAUCAGUAUUUUGCCUUACCUUGAUAUGAUAAUGCCAAACAAGAAUCGUCACUAGUCAUUGUAAAAUUAGUAAGUAAAAUAAUAUCAACUAAAAAACUCAUCCGUAAAUUUCAGAGCAACACCUUUCUCCAUUAUUAAAAAAAAAAAGAGAUGAUAAAGCCAAACAAUCAUCAUUAAGUGUUUCCAGAAAGCCACUAGUAAGAUAUCCAAGGAAGAAUUUGCUAAUCAUAGGUAAAGAAGAAACAAUGACAUAAUCCUUAACUCUAAUCAUAGCUCUACAGGGAAGCAGAAGAAUGAAACAGUUUGAGAAGUAACAUAAAAGGAUAAACGAAAGAAAGAAAGAAAGAAAGAUGUUUUGGGUGGGGGUACCUUGUGGAAGUUGAAAACCAAAUCAAGCUCACAGACAUUGCUGAAGAAAUGGUCCAAAAUCUCAACAAACAAGUGGAUGCAUUCAAGGUAAGCCAACUCAUUGUCUGUUAUGUCAACGCACAAUGAGAAAAACAACCCUGCAUAUCUCCUGUAUAUAACCUUAUGCGUUCUAAACUGCAACCCAAAAAAAAAAAAACAUAUAUAAGCAAGCAUGAUUUAGAUUCCUAAUCAGCUUCACUGUUAGUGCUAGGCCAAUCUAGUUGACUUUUGUAACUAGAAUCUUAAAGCUAAACCAAAAUAACACAAAAUCUUUAACUCUAAUCUCGUUAAUAAGCAAGAACUAACAAACCUCGACGAAAUUGGUGAACUUCGAGUCGCGAUUGACAACCAAUCUGUGAACCUGAGAGCAAAUUAAGAAUCAGAUGAGAAGAAGCACAAAGAAGGGAGAAAGAAUAGAGAAUUGAAUUAUUGUACCUCGUAUUCAACCUUGUGUUUCUCGGACUCCUCGAGAGGAACAUAGUACUUUGCAAGACGAGUCUUGCCUUGUCUGUUCUGCAACAAUAUGAAUCGGAUCUGCAAAGACAAAUUCGACCAAAAUGAGAUUUCAGACAUCGAAUUCGAAGAAUCUUAAAACCAUAUAUACCAUUAUUCCCGGAUUCACAACACAAGAAAACGCAUCCAAGGUUCCGUAAGAUCUUCGGCAGAACACUUAUUGGAAUGGUCGAUUCAAUUAUUAUUUUUUCCGGUCAUUUUCCAAAAAUGAAAAAGCCCGUUAAAGACAUUACAUUACAAAGAUGGUGUUCAACUCUAACUCAAUAGCCCAUUAUACGUUGGAUAAUUUAAGCCCAUUUGAACAAUAAGGUUUACAUAAACAAAGCAACCUAACGAGGGAGCAACACAUGUUUUUUUUUUUUCAGCUUUGUCGAUGACUCUUCAACGCUACCAUUUAGAAAGUAGACUUCAGAGAGUUCAGAAAUAACUCGUAUCAAGUUUUCAACAUCUUGUUAUGAUCUCCAUUCUCCACAAAAAGAGAGUUCCAUCAAAACCCCUAACUCAAAGGCCCAUACAACAAACAGGUCCAUUAAACUCCUAAUUCAAAGGCCCAUACAACAAACCACCUACACGCGACAUCAACCUCGGCCGCUCCCUUGAUGCAUCAUGGCACCAAGAUGAUCCUAUCUUUGGCGGAGGAAUGGUCUUAACGACAAAGGAUGGGACAACGAUUCUCGGUUCAUUCGCUAGUAACCGGCUCUUAACCUUCCUACAUGCUGAGUUUAACACUCGCCUGUGGGCCAUGAAAUCCUCAAUUCAACUAGACCAUCUGGAUAUGACCUUUGACACUGACUAUCUGCAACUGGUCAAGAUCCUUGAAAAUGAUAAAGAAGAAGAGUGGCCUUCCUUACAUGCCGGCUCGAGGUUUGAUCUUUAUCAAGAGUGUAACAAACUUAAAGUAUAUCUCUUAUUAAUUAAUGAAUGAAUGUACAUGUGAGUAUAUAUAUACAAGUAUGUACACGUGUAUUAUGUACACUUCUCUAUAUCUAAUACACCCCCCUCAAGCCUUGAAACUCAAGUAGGAUCUGGAGUAAAAAGGCUUCAUGGUUUGAUAGUCGUUUUCUGGAGUGGACUUCAAUGGAUGUAACAGUCAGUUUUUCUCAAUUCUGCUUCAAUUAUCCUCCUAUCGGACUUGUCUUUGCGACGCUCUGUCACAUCUCAAACAAGCUCAAGUUGCGAUCUACUGUGAGUCUGUAAUGAAAAUUUUACAUUAGCUAAGCUUUAAUCUUGAUAAAAAAAACAAAAAGAAGCUAAGCUUUAAUCAUGUCUGUCUUUAGGAUUGUGAUUAAUCCUUAUUUGUUUUAGAUUUUUUAAUAGCUUUCAGGGGGCUUUCUGAGACAUCUAUGCUUUGAUUAGCUAUUCAAAUGCAUUAGGAUUUUAUUUCUUCAAAACUGAUUGUAUCUCUUUUUGUCAUAAGCUACUGAAAAUUCACAUUCAUAUCAAAAUAAAAAAUUUAGAAGAAUAUUUUUUUCUGAACCUUCUGAAAAUUUUACACAUAUGAAAAUGAAACUAAUGGAAAAUAUUUAUGUACUAAACUAUUAGUUUUAUACGACAAGCUGUUUUUUCUUUAGUAACUGACGACAAUCCUAUCUAUCAAUUAAACUCUUUCGCCGGUUUUAGUAGUUCGUGAAGAAGACAAUUUAGACAAAAGGAACAUAGAAGCCGAUAAAAUGAAGAGUGAUGCAGCAAAACAAGCGAGGUCCAUACAUGUCACCAAUGGUGUCGUCUUGAACUUCUCCAUCAUCCCAACGUGAAGUAUCAUUACCACCGCAUACCCUAUUCUGGCCUUUACUUCACCAAUCGAUUGGUUGCUUUGGUUUGUUUUGCAACUCACAAACAUGUUAUAAAAAGCGUUUCCUAGAACUAGCAUGGAUGUGCCGAACAAGAACAUAUCUGCAGUUUUAGAGAUUAUAAACAAAGAUGGUCAAGGUGCUUUCACUCUAGAAAAUCAUGCACACCACUCAAUGAGUCAUCAGGAUUAGAGCAAUACCAAUGGCUUCGAUUAAAAUAUGAACUGUGUUACUCUUUACUCCAUGCGACAAUCCCUUAAGAUAAUGUGAAUAACAUUCUAGGACACGAGAGCAACCCUGUAAAUCGCACGUAACAUUAGAUUUCAACUGAUUCUUGUUAUCGAAUGAUAGGAUAGGUUAUGUAAACUUCUAUCCUAUUUUUUAUUAAAACGAAAUUUUGAAAACCUAUUCAUUUUGAACGGAAAAUAAAAAUUGCCCCUUCUAAUAAAAUUGGACGGAAAUUAAUCCCUUUUUGUCAAACCGACAAAAGUUAUUCUAUUCAUUUUGUGAUGUUUUUAAAUUCCACAUAUUUAUAAAUAGAAAGUAGUUGGGGCCAAUAUAUCUGUACACCUUUGCGUGGAUUUGAAUAGUUAGAGAUAUAUCUGAGAAAUAUAAGAAACUGAAAAGAAUUUUUUUUUUUCAUUUUACAUGUUUUUUACUAUAGUAGUCAUUUUUAGCUGAACAGAAAUGUGAUAUAUUGGAUCAUAUGCAUAGCUACAGUGUAGUUCAACAAAAUAGUUUCCACUGAAGAAAUAUUUUGAUUGGAUUCAUGAAUGUUUUAUUACACGACAUUAUGUUAAAAUUAUAUUUUGAUAUAAUUGAGGCUGGAGAAGAAAACUACCUCAAAGAAGCAGAGUACAGAACCUAAUAAAGUUCCAGCAACGGCAAAUAAGGUGUAGAAUCUGCAGUCAAGUAUCACCUGCAUCCAAUUAGACAAUUAAAAUGGUUUCACAAAAUGUUUCUCUAUAAAAUGAUGAAAUAUCCAAAUAAAUGAUCCAUGCAAAAAAAAAAAAAACUUUCUGUAUUAGGAGAUAAGUAGAUAUACCCUUUCUAUAUUCCUCUGCAACUGCAGUUUCCAUGCCCGUCUUUUGAUGGCUUGCCUUAACUCCGUGAUAAAAAUAUCAGUUACUUGUGAUACAAGAAACACAGAAUCCAUCAAUCCUCGUCUUACUUCAGUCUUACUUUUGAUCACGAUCUCUGAAGUAGGCACAUAAGCUUUCACCUCCACCGAAGAUUUUCUAUCUUUAUCUUUAAUAGGCGGUUUCUGAUUCUGACCCCCCAACGAGCAUUUCAGGAUUCUUGUGCGUGACAGGGAACACGACGGCGACAAAGAAGAUGAUGAUGAUGGACGAAAGAGAUCCGACGGUUUUGAAUUACGACGCAAGAGUAAUCUAGUGGUGGUCAUUGCUCUAUGUUUGCUUUAUUUUUCGGAGCUUUCGUAGGUCUAUACCACAUAUAUAUAUACACCGACACAUUUUUGUGUAAUGAAGUGUAAAACGAUGCCUUGGUGUGGCAGCGUGGCUGCAAAGGAAAAGAGAAGAUUCGUGGGAUAUUUCUAGUUUUCUUGUUUUGUUGUGUACUUUCUGAGAAAGGUUCAGCUCUCUCUUUUUUUCUGGACCGUCGCUAUGGUAUGCGUGUCUAAAAUGCACAAUUCUAAGCCGGACUUUUUGUCCAGCUAGACAGUAUAAAACACGUGUCAAAACUAGUGAAUGCUUCAACUUUUUCUUCCUCUGUUUUGUUUGUAUAUUAAAACUUUUCUGUUUUUUUCUCCAUCGUAGAAAAGUUUUUUUUUAAAUAAGCAAAUAACUAUGACUACUUUAUAAAAAAUACUUAUAGGAAUCGUUUGUGCAAAAAUUCCGCAGACCCCAGUUCACACGUGAUUUUGAGAGUUAUCCGAGCUCGACCGCUGAAGAAUAGAUGGGACGCAGACGCAUGCACGCCAGCCUUUGAUAACACGCCAGCAUAAUAUGCGCAUGAGUCGAUGGUAAAUUGGUAAUAUAAUAGUUUGAAUUGUGGGAGUUUUGGAUGAUAUCUUAUUCAAUAGCUUUGUGAAAUCGGAAUUCUGGCGUAUUUAAUGUCACAAAUUCAAAGGUGGAUUAAGUGAUUAUUGUAUUGAAGUUAGAAUUCGGCGUACUAUUCAAAAUCAAACAACAUAGGCCAUGUUCCUUAAUGCCAGACUGAAAAUGGACAGGGCCAUAGUAAAGGCAAUGCUUUUAGUGAAAUUCAUAAAAACCUAAACCAUCAUGAAUUGCAGUAACAAUACAUGAUUUGGUUUUCUUUUAUAUCAGUGCGAAAGAAGACAAUUGCAUCUGAACACAAUGUCUCAGACCAUCAUAUUCUUUCUUUGAGUUGUCCAAAUAAAUGUUUUGUUUACCAUUAGAGGUUUUUAAUCAAUCAAAAUGAAAAGGUGUGUUUAAGGUAGACAGAACAUAACAGAAAAGAGCAAAACGGAAGACUCAUACUGCUCAUUUUCAUUCUUGACUAUCAAUCAUAGAAUCUCCCAACCUCAUCACUCAAGCUUCUCCAGUUCUGACAUCCUCUCAAUGAUCGC
rnacentral:lncRNA from 1 species